rnacentral:rRNA from 1 species
GUUGACCUCGGAUCAGGUAGGGAUACCCGCUGAACUUAAGCAUAUCAAUAAGCGGAGGAAAAGAAACCAACAGGGAUUGCUCUAGUAACGGCGAGUGAAGCAGCAAUAGCUCAAAUUUGAAAUCUGGCGUCUUCGGCGUCCGAGUUGUAAUUUGUAGAGGAUGCUUCUGAGUAGCCACCGACCUAAGUUCCUUGGAACAGGACGUCAUAGAGGGUGAGAAUCCCGUAUGCGGU